rnacentral:lncRNA from 1 species
GGAUCUUCUGCCACCGUUUUAAGCAACCCAUUUAAUUAAAGUUGUGUCUCUUGCUGGCAUGAGAGCAAUGGAAGUGUCAGUUUGCUUGUCAGAGGCUCCUUUGCCUGGAGCAUAGAUCAGAGCCUGGGUGGCCGUGUGCCAGGCUUCUCUCCAGCACAGAUGGGAAGGCCAGGGGUAAUUACCCUGCCCUGGCCACUUGCCUUCCUGUGUGAAAUUAUAGAAAAGUAGGAGACAGUGUCUCCACCCGAUUCUUAUCCUUCAUCAUUUCCAGGGAAGGGAUAAAGACAAGCACACACCUCGAUCUCAUGCAGGCAGGAAGGCUGCCUGGAACCUCUCCCCUCUAAGGACAGUUUUGGAGGAGGACAAGCCUGCUGUGGAGAAUGGAUAAGACAAGCAUGAGCCAAUGGUAUGCACAGAAGGAGAAGAUAACUCCAAGGUACCAAGGCAGCAAUCGCCACCAGAGUCUCCUGGACCAGAGAAAGAUACUUCCCUAAGUAGAAUGAGCCCACCAGGUCCUCUCAUCAACUACUGCUCGGAACCAUGUUGACAACUCCAGAAACAAACCUAGUUUGUAAAAAAAAA